GACGAACGCUGGCGGCGUGCCUAAUACAUGCAAGUAGAACGCUGAAGGAGGAGCUUGCUUCUCCGGAUGAGUUGCGAACGGGUGAGUAACGCGUAGGUAACCUGCCUGGUAGCGGGGGAUAACUAUUGGAAACGAUAGCUAAUACCGCAUAACAGUAGAUGUUGCAUGACAUUUGCUUAAAAGGUGCAAUUGCAUCACUACCAGAUGGACCUGCGUUGUAUUAGCUAGUUGGUGAGGUAACGGCUCACCAAGGCGACAAUACAUAGCCGACCUGAGAGGGUGAUCGGCCACACUGGGACUGAGACACGGCCCAGACUCCUACGGGAGGCAGCAGUAGGGAAUCUUCGGCAAUGGACGGAAGUCUGACCGAGCAACGCCGCGUGAGUGAAGAAGGUUUUCGGAUCGUAAAGCUCUGUUGUAAGAGAAGAACGAGUGUGAGAGUGGAAAGUUCACACUGUGACGGUAUCUUACCAGAAAGGGACGGCUAACUACGUG
rnacentral:rRNA from 1 species